rnacentral:RNase_P_RNA from 1 species
UGAGCCGGCCGGGUGGCCGCGGCGUGGUUUCCACGCUGAGGAAGGUCGGGGCUCCGUAGGGCAGGAUGCUGGCUAGCGGCCAGUCGGGGCGACCCGCAGGAAAGUGCCACAGAGAACAGACCGCCGAUGGCCCGGCCCCUCGGGAUCGGGCACAGGUGAGGGUGAAACGGUGCGGUAAGAGCGCACCAGCGGCCGGGGCGACCCGGUUGGCUCGGCAAACCCCAUCCGGAGCAAGGCCGAACAGGGAGAGGGUGGUCCGCCCGUCGAUCCUCCCGGGUUGGCCGCAUAGAUGGAUGGUCACCCACCCGGAGUCCCGUAAGGGCCCGGUGGACAGAACCCCGCCUACAGGUCGGCUCACCGU